AUUGAACGCUGGCGGCAUGCUUUACACAUGCAAGUCGAACGGCAGCGCGGGCUUCGGCCUGGCGGCGAGUGGCGAACGGGUGAGUAAUGCAUCGGAACGUGCCCAGUAGUGGGGGAUAGCCCGGCGAAAGCCGGAUUAAUACCGCAUACGACCUGAGGGUGAAAGCGGGGGACCGAAAGGCCUCGCGCUAUUGGAGCGGCCGAUGUCGGAUUAGCUAGUUGGUGGGGUAAAGGCUUACCAAGGCGACGAUCCGUAGCUGGUCUGAGAGGACGACAAGCCACACUGGGACUGAGACACGGCCCAGACUCCUACGGGAGGCAGCAGUGGGGAAUUUUGGACAAUGGGGGCAACCCUAAUCCAGCCAUGCCGCGUGAGGGAAGAAGGCCUUCGGGUUGUAAACCGCUUUUGUUCGGGAAGAAAUCCUCUGGGCUAAUACCCCGGGGGGAUGACGGUACCGGAAGAAUAAGCACCGGCUAACUACGU
rnacentral:rRNA from 1 species